GUACGACAUUUGGAGGCCCCAGCGAGAAACGUCACCGGGAGAAACGUCACCGGGCGAGAGCCGGGCCCGCUGUGUGCUCCCCCGGAAGGACAGCCAGCUUGUAGGGGGGAGUGCCACCUGAAAAAAAAAUUUCCAGGUCCCCAAAGGGUGACCGUCUUCCGGAGGACAGCGGAUCGACUACCAUGUGGGUGCCCACAAAAAUUCCACCUCUGAGUCCUCAACUGCUGACCCCGGGGUCAGUAGACACGGGGUUUCACCAUGUUGGCCAGGCCGGUCUUGAACUUGUGACGUCAGGUGAUGCACCCGCCUUGGCCUCCCAAAGUGCUGGGAUUACAGGUCCAGAUUUUGAACAAAUCUCGCUAGAGAUUGAACAGAGCUGCGCCUGGAUCCCGCCACAGUGAGGAGACCUGAAGACCAGAGAAAACACAGCAAGCCCCUGGAUCCUCCUGGAAUCCCCGAUCCCUCUUGCUCCCUGGCAGAGUUUUCUAGUCCCUCUUACUUGAAGCAUGUCUUUCAGAGCCCGGCACCACCCAUCUUGAGUAUCUGCUACACCUCUAUGGUAUUUUUUUCACCUCAUAUCAUACCUUCCUCCCUCACUGGACUUCAGUGUGGGACCUGCAGGUCUCAGGCCUUCUGGGAAGUCCCAGCUUUUCUUGAAUGUUUUCUCUCUCUGGCCAGCUCAGGCUGGAGCAGUGGGUGUUGGUGCCAUCCUGUG
rnacentral:lncRNA from 1 species